CGCUGGCGGCAGGCUUAACACAUGCAAGUCGAGCGGGCGUAGCAAUACGUCAGCGGCAGACGGGUGAGUAACGCGUGGGAACAUACCUUUUGGUACGGAACAACACAGGGAAACUUGUGCUAAUACCGGAUAAGCCCUUACGGGGAAAGAUUUAUCGCCGAAAGAUUGGCCCGCGUCUGAUUAGCUAGUUGGUGAGGUAACGGCUCACCAAGGCGACGAUCAGUAGCUGGUCUGAGAGGAUGAUCAGCCACAUUGGGACUGAGACACGGCCCAAACUCCUACGGGAGGCAGCAGUGGGGAAUAUUGGACAAUGGGCGCAAGCCUGAUCCAGCCAUGCCGCGUGAGUGAUGAAGGCCCUAGGGUUGUAAAGCUCUUUUGUGCGGGAAGAUAAUGACGGUACCGCAAGAAUAAGCCCCGGCUAACUUCGUGCCAGCAGCCGCGGUAAUACGAAGGGGGCUAGCGUUGCUCGGAACCACUGGGCGUAAAGGGUGCGUAGGCGGGUCUUUAAGUCAGGGGUGAAAUCCUGGAGCUCAACUCCAGAACUGCCUUUGAUACUGAGGGUCUUGAGUUCGGGAGAGGUGAGUGGAACUGCGAGUGUAGAGGUGAAAUUCGUAGAUAUUCGCAAGAACACCAGUGGCGAAGGCGGCUCACUGGCCCGAUACUGACGCUGAGGCACGAAAGCGU
rnacentral:rRNA from 1 species